CGCUUUCCUCCCGCACCGGCUCCGGGCCGUCGUCGCCCCGCUCCGCGGGAAGGUCACACCCACCGGACCCGGUCGGCGAGGGCGCAGGGGGCCGGGUGAGGCGCUGGGAGCCCGGCGCGGCGGCCCGCGCCCCUUCCUGCCGGCCGGGACGGAGACCGAGGGCGGGUGGGCGGCCGGGCGGGUCCCGGCAGGGGGCGGCGCCACCUCACCCGGAGCGGGAGGAAAGGGCGGGCCGGGCGGAGCAGGACGCCCGGCGCUGACGCCCGCCGCUUUCCCCCGCCGCGAGGACCGAGGGGCUCACAAGCCGUCGGCGUAACUCUACUGCAGAGUGCUCCUCAGCCCAUCCAGCACUGACACCUCCACUCACCUCCCCAGGGCAGUGCCAAGUCUCUCAGUGGGGCUUACUCCUGCUUCUACAACCUGGAGGAUUGCAGGAUUUCCUGUAGCUAAGGAUGAAAAGCGAGAAGUCAGAGGAAGCCAGGGCCUCCCAGGCAGAAGACCUACAUCAGCAGCUCCAUCACCUGAGUCUUGUGCGAAGAUUUCCAGGGCCUUGUUCUCUUCCAUGUCUUUGAGCUGUAGCUGCAUCAUUAGGUGGGUGAAGUGCAGAAGCUACUUUUGAAGAGUCUUUCUUGGAGACCAGCUGUAAAGAGGCUUCACCAUGCUGGCACAGGAUGCCUAAGAGCUGGUCUCUGCUGCUGGAGAUUCUGGGCCUCUUGGAUCCUCACUGCCACCAGAAGAAGACCCACAAAUUAGGGCAUGAAUCACCUGAAGCUUUAACAGUCUGAGCUCUGAAAUUCAGUGAGGGCCAUCCAGAAGCACUAGCCUCCUGCACCCAAACUCAUGACUUGGAAUGUCUGAUCCUUACAACAGGAUUUAGUGCCACAGCUGUGAAGAAUCAGAUGGAACCAACCUACAUGUGUUAAGUGUAUUCUCCUAGCCUCUGGUUUGCAUAUAUUGUCCCACUGACUCCAACAACUCUCUGAAGAAAAUGCUAAGAUCCAUUUGAAGUGAUGGAAACUGGAGGCUGGGUGAUAGGAAGCACUGAAACUGGGAACAGUGCAACAGAGAACCAGUCCAUUGUGAACCCAAGGAGCAUCCCCUUCUAUCCUGUGUCCUCCUAGGUUUAGGUGGGUUCAGGUCUCCAGCAGUGAGAUAGCAUCAGGACCUAGGAAAACUCUAGAGCUACACACCUCUAAUGCUCACAGGCUUAGAACAAAAGACACUCACAGAACUGCUCUGGCAGACUCUGCAGGACAUUGGGUUCACUUGUCACCCAGCUGUGGGAGAUCAGUUCUAGCCCCAGAGCCUCCUAUCCUCAUGAGCAAUACCUCUGUCUUAGCCCAGUCCCAUGGGACAGGAGCUACCACUGCCUUAAGCUCUGAGAUCUCCCCCCUGCAGCUGCCCUGGCUUCCAAGUCAGCUCCUACUUUUGGAGCUGCUCUAAAUGCAGGGUCGUUGUUCUACUGAUCUUGUCUUCACUUUAAAGAGAAUUGUAGUCAGUGCCUCUAGCACAGGCAGACCUGAGAUCCUACCUGUGUGUCUACACCCAUAUGGCAGGAUGGAGAAUCAUCUGUCUGUAGGAGAUGCCCUAGCAUCUGACUCAUAGGACACUCCCACAAUUGAGGGGAACAGUGUGUUGCAGAGAGGAAGGAGUCAGAGGGGUAACUGUGAUGCUCUUCCCUGAAGGUCCCGGCAGUGAGGAGCCAAGCAAGCAAUGGACAUGCACCAGCCUCUGGAAGUUGUCCUGCAUUUGGGCCAGCUGCUUCUUGAGACUGCAGUUCUGCACCACUAAGCCAUUGAUGGUCUUCUGCAGUUCUUCCAUGUGCUCCAGGAUGUUUCUGUGCUCCUCCACCAGCACAGCCACAACUUGGCCCUGUUCUCAAGCCUCACAAGGCCAUCCUCCUGCUCCUUGAUUUUCUUCUACAGGGCCCAGUUUUCUUUCUUGUUGCUAUUUAGCUCCCUGAGAUGUGCUCUAGCUUCCUCUUUAUGUGGUUCAGCUCCCACAGCAGCCACUACUGUUCUAAAGAUGGCCCUGCUCAGGGGUGCAAGGCUGGGGCACAGGUGAGAAAGGAGGCAGUGUUAAGGGUCCGGGUCUCUAGGCCUUAAACAAUAUCCUCAGUGCUCAGCCCCCAUUAUAGGCUCCUUGCUUGGGCCUUGGUUUCCUCAUGACUGAUUGCUCACACCCAGAUCAUGGCCAGGCAUGAAGCCACAUUUCUGAAUGGGUCCUAGUUAGGGGUUGGUGGGGAGUACAAUACCCCUCUCUGCAGUGGGGACACUGAGGCUCAGAGGUAGGACUAAAUCGUCAACUGCUGGCACAGAUGCCUUUCCCUUUACCGCUGUGCCCUUGAAUCCACCCUGCUCCCUGGGGCAGUGUAAGCCCCAUCCACAGUCUGGGCACCCUGCCCUCCUCAAGGGCACAGUUGUGGCCACUCACCCAUGCAUUUGUUCACUUUAUCCAACUGGAAAGAAAGAUCUGUGACCUUUCUGUAUUGCUUCUCCUUUAAUGUAUAUACCCGAAUCAGGCACAGUGAGCAGUAGAUAGAGGGAGGGACAGGUAACCUUAGACACUUCUGGCAUCCUGUCUGUCCCAUUUUCCCACCUUUGGCCCCAAGCUGCAGUACUUUCUUUGAAACUCUUCCACUGAGCAGUAACAUUCCUAGCCCUCGAAUGCGUUUUUCUCAUCUGAAAUCUGACUCCUCUAAUGCAAUUUUGGCCCCAUCCUCAGCAGCCUGGCCAGCCAUGACACAAAGCUUCAUGUGGGUGACAUUCAUCACCACUAGUUGUCUUAAGUUUUAUACUUUUUAAAAACUUACUGUUUUCUGUAAUCCCAGUACUCGGAAGGCUGAGGUGGGAGGAUCUUUGCGAGUUUGAGACUAGCUUGGGCUACAAAGUGAACUCAAGUCCAGCCUGAACUGCAUAGUGAGACCCUGUCUCAACAAAGAUAAACAAAAAACAAAAAACAAAACAAAACAAAAACAAAAAAAAGCCUUACUGUUUUGUUUACUGGAAGGUUUUUGGUUAUUUGAAACUCCCUUAACUAGGGAGGAAGAAAUGCAAUGAUACUCAUGAAAACAGUAAGCUGUGUUCACAUCCUCCUGUAUACUUUCUAUAGAACAGUCUUAUGCACACCAUUUGCUUAAUGCUGCCAAGAGCUCUAAAACACGCUGUGAUGGGCACGCAAUCACUGAACAAUGAGCAGUUAACAUGGCUGAACAACAGAAAGGAAGAAAAAAAGACAAAGAAAAAGUAAAAAAAGAAAGAUAUAAUGAGGAUUCUCUCCAAAUGCUAGUGGAACAUACCAUGUGUUUGCAGUUUCAAAAGAAGGGAUGUAAUAGCACAAUUCCUGCACAAAUAUACAUAGUCAAACUUCUAAAUAGUGUCCCUUCUAAUUGGUGCUUUCACUCUAUGAUAUCCACCACAACACUUUCAAAAUAAUAAGUAGUAAAUAAGAAUAAUUUCCUGUUUAUAUUCCAAAUUUAAUAUGAACAAUACUCUAUCUUUGUUCUCAAUCACUGCUUUUUGCUUUAUUGCUUGAUGUUCUGCAUCAGGAUUCAGUUCCAGGGUUACACACUACACAGAGCACAGCUCCCUGCAAACCAAUGUAAAAAAGGCUACAUCUCCUUGCUUUUCAUUUUAUUGUACUAAAUUCACCUUAUGUGAACUUUUUCUGCUCCUCUUGCCUUUAUCCUAGGAUGAAUGCAGUCUUGGAAAAGUUUUCAAUGUCAUACAAGUUCUCUCUGUGGUACUUUUUUUCACCAUGGUGCAUUCUUUUCCCUUGUUGACUUGUCCUACACUAUACUUUGACAAACAGUCAUACUUUCAUCAAUGCUUUCAUACAAAAAUGUUCUGUUUUAAUGUUAUUUUUAGUUUUUACUAGUAAAUAUUUACAAUGAGUUUGUCUUCUGUAGCAGAUUCCUCAAAGCACACUAUACUCUAAGCCCUAGAUCCUGUAAUCUCGAAAAACAACUUUAGAUUAUAGUCCCAGAGAACUUCAUUCACAGUGUGUCCUGUGUGGCCCAUCCCGAAGGCCAUGGCUUGAAUGCACUUAGAAACAAAGGCAGCAAUCUCUCUACUGUAAUAGAGCAUGCUUUUUGGAGACUACUUCCAGUGAAGUAUCGAGGGAAAAGCAUGCAGUGCUCUUCACUCUUGGGAUGCUGCUCUUGUCUUCUUCACCACAAGCUCACACUCACAGAAGCUCCAUUUUAUUACUGACCUCUAUGGACAAGCUCUUUUUUUAUGAAAACAGGUGAAAAAGCAUUGUGGUUUAGACUUACCAUCCAGGGUUUACUUUUUACUCCCAUAUGGUUUUCUCUUUUAGUUCAUUCUAUCUACCAUUGUGUUACCUCACAUUUGGGGUGAAUAUUUUUAACUUUCCAGCCCCACUUCCUCUAGGUGUCAGCAGCAGCAUCCAUGAAAACCAUCAUCAUGACAUUCGUGGCUCCAGUUCCUGUCCUCAAUUCUCCCCACAUCCUUCCCCAGAAUUUAGCUGUGUGCUUACAAAUCAAGACGUUUCACAUUCUAUAUGCUCUUGAGAACACAUUUCAUGAUCCAGAAUUUAAUUUGUUCAAUAUUUGCAAAUGUUCACUAAUUAUUUUUUAAUAACUAGUCGAACUUGGUGACAUCUUAUACUCAUUAACUGCACACAGAGUACCACCCUGGAGAAUGAAGCAAAAGCAACUCAGGAGGAAUGGACUAGUUUCUCCACAUCACUUCUCCCAUCUGCACAGAAACUGUCACUAGAAACAAUACAUGAUAACUUUCCAGUUGCCUUACUCAGAAUAUAGACUGGGGUACAUAUUGUGAGAAGGAAUCAAGAGAUUAUAGAAUAAAAUUUAGGAAAAUGUAUAAAAUUAUGUCAAGUUAACACAGAAUAUGUGAUUCUUCAGUGUAUAAGACUCCAGGGAGACUUGGAGAACGAACUGUCAUUUGAAAUGGAAAGGAAAUCAGGAACAAAUGUAGGGAUUAACAUAUGAGGAAAGAAUUUUAGAAUGAGUAGAUUUAGAGAUGUAAUUUACAAUGUACCUAUAUUGAUUGACAUGGGAAUUAAAAUCAAUUAAUGAAA